rnacentral:other from 1 species
GACACCCUGUGGUGUGCGAGGUGCUUUCAUUAAACAGCUCUUUGCCUUAAGAACCAACGGGAGCCAAGACCGCCGCGGAAGCUGCUAGGCCGUAAACCGGAAAGCAAACGCUGCGGGGGAGGUGCCCACCUAAACUUAAAAGGACGAGAGCCUUUGGGCACACGGCACCGGCGGGGUGUCA